rnacentral:rRNA from 1 species
CCAAACGGGUGGUAAACAUCACCUAAGGCUAAAUAUUGGCGAGAGACCGAUAGCGAACAAGUACCGUGAGGGAAAGAUGAAAAGAACUUUGAAAAGAGAGUUAAACAGUACGUGAAAUUGUUGAAAGGGAAACGAUUGAAGUCAGUCGUGCUGGCGCGAAAUCAACCCUUUAGUCGAGAGGUCACGCGGCGUGGCGAGCCUCAAAACCGUCACGAAGCGGGACCCCUUGGUGAAAGGGAGCACUUUCGUGUCCGCUGGUUAACAUCAAUUUCGAUCGUCAUAAAAAGGCUGGAGGGAUGUGGCUCCUUCGGGAGUGUUAUAACCUUUAGCGGAAUGUGGUGGUCGGGAUUGAGGAUUGCAACGAAUACCUUCGGGGCUGUUCCACCUGGCCUCUCUUUGGUAUCCUGGUGACGACAGCUUGCUGACUUUGUUAGGAUUCGCCUUCGAACAGGCUAGAGUGUGAGCAA